UUAUGUCUAGGUGGUGAGUAUUCUGGCAAAAGUAAAGAGAUAGUACCCGAGGAUCAAGAAUCGAAGUACUUGGAAUUCGACUCCCAAAAUAGUGAGUAACCUUACUAUCGUCUUAAUUAUCUAAAGUGGUUUUUAUUCGAUUUUGUGAAUUUUAUGAAAAAUGAGUUAAAUGGUUAAUUUUUAGGUUUUAUAAAUAAAAUGUGAUUUCAUGAAAUGAUUUUAUAACAUUGUCUUGAAAUGAAAUGAUGGUUUUGAAAAUAGAGUAAUUGGAGACCAUUUGAUGUAUUGUGAAUUUAUAAUUCUAAUUGAAUGGCUUAUGAUAAUAUUAGCAUGAAUGGCUGAUUUGGUAAAUGUGUUGAAAAUGUAUGAACUGUUAAUUUACCUUGAGAGGCUAUAAAAUAAAAUAAUUGCUAUGUCAUGCUAUUGCAAAUUUUAUUGUAUGGUGGGUUAUAAAUUAGUCACUGUAGUGGACGAGUUCCGUGGACCAGCCUAUUAGAGGAGCACGGUAACCCUAUUAUAUUCAUACCUCAGUAUGAGAGGCACGGUUGGAUAACUCCUGAGGUUAAAACUUUAGAGUUCACUUCACGUUAAACCACCACGUGAGCGUAAACUCAGCCAACGCCAGAAACAGCUAUGUUUUCAAAAUAAAAACAUGAUUUAUACGUACAUAAACUUUUUAAUAGCCUUGACAGAUUCGGUUGGGAUAGCCCUCGAUCAAGGUAUCCCUAAUAACUAGGUAUGAGAACGAUUUUGGCACGAGCCAAAGUUUAAAGAAAUUCAUAAGCCAUGUUGAUUUCUCGAUUUAUAUGAAUUGAUUUUAUUUGGUUGAAACAAGUUGAAAGGUGAUGAAUUACAGUAUGUUAAACUAUUUAUCUGUCUCCAUUUACUCAGCUUUAGAUAUUUUAGAUGGUAUUUGUUUACUCACUGGGAUUAUAUAAUCUCACCACCCUCAUUUCCACCCAUUUCAGGCUUAGAAUAGGCUGUAAAAAGCUGAUUUCAUCGAGGCUACCAUUAAAUUUGCAUCGUCCAAACUGUAGAUUCACAAUCUUCCUUACUUUUAGUUAUUCGGGAGCCCACUGGUUAUUGUAAAUUAAAUUAAAUACUCUGGCUUACUGUAUUACAGCAUGUAUGAAUUUAUUUUCCUUUUACGCUGCA
rnacentral:lncRNA from 1 species